rnacentral:lncRNA from 1 species
AUGGAAGGCCGGAAGGAAUAUGAUCGUGGCUCAGAAGACAGAGUCAUAAGAUUGCUGGGUGAGCUGGAUUCGAAGAACCUACAUGAAGCGGACAAGCUGCCACUCAAAACAGAGGAUCCAGCGUGGCCCUUGGAUAAAGACAUCCCGGAAACAUUUGAUGCGCGAAAAAAGUGGGGCAAAAUCUGCCCCCAAAUAUCCGAAAUUUAUGAUCAAGGAUUCUGCGGCUCUUGUUGGGCUGUGUCCUCCAUGUCAGCGGCUUCAGAUCGUGAGUGCAUAAGCUCCAAAGGAAAAUUUAAGGAUUGCUUUCUGCUCAGUAUGUAACGUCUUGCUGUGAAGACUGCGGUCUAGGUUGUGAUGGAGGGUAACGUACAAGGCACACUCAUUUUUUCAUUAAAUUAUUUCUGCGUCGAAGAUAUUUACUCACAUGAAAAAAGAACAAUUAUAAAUAGAGAGAAGAUGGGAUGAUUCCGGCAUUAUCCGGGCAGACACGCAGCCGUGAGUUGGUUUAGUGGUCGGCUCGACCUCGGUCCCCGAUCUCCCUAGCUAGCUCCUGAUCAGAACAACUUUCUAAAUUAGAGCCUAAACCAACAUAUGAUAGUUUAACCAUCUAGAUGACCAUCUGGCCGAAACCCACCCCAUGUUGGGGUGGUAGUGCGAAACGGAUGGAAAUCGAAACCCCCGACUUUGUUCACACAGCCGGCGGAACAAGAUGCUUAAAUUGUCAUAUCUUCGAUAAGAUUCGCCACUUUUUCUCCCGGAAGACUACAAAAAAAAAAAAAACAAGAAGAAACAUCCAACAUGAAUAUGUUGGAAAAGCGUGCCGAAGAACUGAAAUCUGGUGUGUGCACUAUUUCCAUUUCAACGAGAUGUGUAUAAAUUAGUACUCUCUGCAAAUUGGGAGGAAUUAUUGAUUUGAUACCGUUGAAUGUAAAUACAUUUUAUUGAAUAAAGAAAGUAACAUAAUUAUAUUGGAUGAACAAAGAAAACAAGCUGGUUUUGCGAUCGCAGUGCGAUAGCAAUACUCGGCAUGGGAACUUGAAAAAUGUUUGAUAAAUCACUUAGCAUUGGGUAUACCAUUUUUAUGAUGGAUACCUAUUGGGAUCUGCUUUUGAUUUAGCAAAAGUCAAACAUUUACCUAUGGCUGAUAAAAUUGCAGAAGUUGUUCCUUUCCUGCGGCAUGACGGCGAGUUUUUUAUUUUCUUCUGUCAUUUAUUUUCUUCUGUUAUUUAUUUUUUCUAUUUUUCCAAGCGACAUUGAUUUACUGUUCCAAUGUGAUGAUCAGAUGAUACCACUUUAUUGUCAAAGCAAAAACGCGAGGAACCUCUGAGGGAAGACAAACGGCUGUACUGGCAGUAUUUUUAAUUAUUUGUCUUAAUUUUUAAUUACUAGUAUUGCUGUAUCGACUUUGCAUGUACAUUGUCAUUCAAAGUUUGUUGAACUGUUUUCCCUCUGACGCUAUUUUCAGGAAGCCAUUAUUUUUUUUCAUUUUGAAAGAAAUCUGGGCCUUAUCAUAAAGUAUUUGAAUUUUCUUGUCUUUCUUUCUUUCCUUUUUCAUUUUUCGUAUUUAAUUUUUUCGGAUGUGUAUUUGUGUCGAUUAGUAUUUAGCUGAAAUAAGUUCUAGCUAUAUGUGUAAACUUUUUCAUUUGAACUACUUUUCUUCGAGUCAAUACGGCGAUGCCCUGUGUCAUUUGCUUCCAACUUUUUCUUCUUUAUCUCUUUUAUGAGCCAAAGGAUGUAAAGUAAUGCGCUGUUUUUAUUCUUUGGUUUUUCUCAUUCUAACCCACUGUCCAAACGCGGCCACAAAACUUAGACACUUUUUAUUUAAAGUAGCUAAACAACGCCCCUUCAUAACGCCGAGUUCAUACAACUAUUUGUGCUGGUUGGAUGUCCAUGUGGGAUCUGCAAAAUUGAAGGGUGUAUGUUGUGAUGUAAAGUCUAACCAACAAAUUUCAUCUUAAGUAGGUAUUUUACACAUGCUGAUCAUAGUUGAACUUCCAAAUAAUAAAAACCAAAAGCAACAAAGGGAGGAAAAUUACAAAAGAUAACUACGACGUGUUAUUUUCUUUUAAAUGAGGAAAAACAAGAUGAUAGAUCCAACAUGAAGAUGUUGGAAAAGGGUGAAGAAUAAGUGAAAUGUUGGAUGUGUGCUAUACUACUUUCAUGUCGUUGCUAUAUUUUUUUAGCGGGGGGGGGGGCGUAAGAAUUGUUAUUUUUUGCUAAAUUUUGGAGAAAAUAUCGCUUUAAGAACGUUGAAUGUAAAAUAAUUUGAUUGCAUAAAGAAAAUAACAUCAUUAAUUUGGGUGAACACAGAAAGUUACAUCAUUAUUUGGGUUGACAUCUCCCUGAUUGUAUGAAGGAUGAAUAUUUUAGUAUUUUUGUUUCAAAAAACUUAACUUUUUUCUUCAGAGAUACAAUGAUUCUAGUCCAAGUCAAUUUGUUUUAUUGAACAAUUAAAAACAAAAAAAACAACUGAAAUGUUAGACAUACUAUUUUCAUGUCUUUCUAUUUGUAUCAAUAGGUACACUGGAAAAAAAUACACAUUGUAUGUAGAGUCCAGACUCUUGAAAACAUUGACAAAAAAAAAUACUCUUCAUUCAAUCAGAUUUAAGCUUAA